CCUACGGGCGGCAGCAGUGAGGAAUAUUGGUCAAUGGGCGAGAGCCUGAACCAGCCAAGUCGCGUGAGGGAAGACGGCCCUACGGAUUGUAAACCUCUUUUGUCGGGGAGCAAAGCGCGUCACGUGUGACGUAUUGAGAGUACCCGAAGAAAAAGCAUCGGCUAACUCCGUGCCAGCAGCCGCGGUAAUACGGAGGAUGCGAGCGUUAUCCGGAUUUAUUGGGUUUAAAGGGUGCGCAGGCGGAGGUGCAAGUCAGCGGUAAAAUUGAGGGGCUCAACCCCGUCCAGCCGUUGAAACUGGAUUUCUUGAGUGAGUGAGAAGUAUGCGGAAUGCGUGGUGUAGCGGUGAAAUGCAUAGAUAUCACGCAGAACUCCGAUUGCGAAGGCAGCAUACCGGCGCGCAACUGACGCUCAUGCACGAAAGUGUGGGUAUCGAACAGGAUUAGAUACCCCAGUAGUC
rnacentral:rRNA from 1 species